AUACGUCUAGGGCCGUGAAAGGUAAUAUGGUUAGGUAUGUCAUAUCACUGUAGUUGAUUAACCAUGUAGGAGCUGUAUAAACAUUCAAAUUGUAUGCCAAGAUAACACAGGCUAGUUAGACACGGAUACUAGACAUUGCUUAAGGAAAGGAGGCCUCCAGAUAUUUUAGUAACUGGGUGCUAUGUGUUAGUGGGAUCAGAUGGAGUAGGAG